rnacentral:lncRNA from 1 species
CGACGCGGAGAGACGGCGCCGGCUUAGAUCUUGCGCAGCUUGUCGGCCUUGACGAUGGGGUUGGCGAGCGCGAUGGCCUCCCGGCCCGCCGCCUUGUAAUCGAAGGAACACGCGUGCCGCUCCGGGUACCGGUGCUCCCCGCAGUAGGUCGCCCCGCAUCGGCACGGGAACCCCGUCAGCCCCACCUUCUUCCGGCACGACGCGCACCGGUUCGGCCGUCGCGCCGGCGGCGCCUCUGCACCGGCCGCCGCCACCGAUGCCGCGGCGCUCCCUGAAGGCCCCUCCGGAGGGACAGUUACGGCGAUCGGGCCACAGGAGGAGGACGGGGGAGCGGCGACGGCCGAGGAGGCGGCGGCAGAGGGCGGCGGCGGGGAGAGGGAUCUCUCGACCGCGAUCAUGGCGGAGGCGGCCUGUUCCUCCUUGAGGCGGAGGUCGCGGUAACACUUGGAGCAGAGGUUGAGGGUGGCGGGGCUUCCGAAGAAGCCGCAGUUGUUGGCGCACAGCCGGUGGCCAUCUUGGCAUCGCUGUUCCUCCGCCAUCGUCCUGCCUCUUCUUUCUCCCUUCCGAUCGAUCAAUCCAAACAAACAAAAGGCACGAAUUCUGCACCAAAUAAACCAACAAGCCUCAGAUAACGAAGAACAACGACCGAGAUCUGCCUCUAGGGUUCCGGACAAGAUCAAGACGUCAAGGCAAAGAAAGAAUCGCGGAUCAGAAGAAAUCGAUCAUGCUUCAAUAUUAAGUCAGGAAUAGCGUGAAGAACCAAACCUAAUCGAC